GCGCUGCAGCUGUUGCAGGGGCUCUGCAUGUUGUCAGAAAAAGAGUGUGAGUCGGUAAGACAUGGUAAUAUGUUCAAUGAUGCGAUGCACCGUUUUUUCAGUAAAAGAGACGAACUGAACGUUUCCGCGCAUGUUCAUUGACCG